UACGAAGGGGGCUAGCGUUGUUCGGAAUUACUGGGCGUAAAGCGCACGUAGGCGGAUACUUAAGUCAGGGGUGAAAUCCCGGGGCUCAACCCCGGAACUGCCUUUGAUACUGGGUAUCUCGAGUCCGGAAGAGGUGAGUGGAAUUCCGAGUGUAGAGGUGAAAUUCGUAGAUAUUCGGAGGAACACCAGUGCGAAGGCGGCUCACUGGUCCGGUACUGACGCUGAGGUGCGAAAGCGUGGGGAGCAAACAGGG
rnacentral:rRNA from 1 species